rnacentral:tRNA from 1 species
GGCCGGGUGGCGGAAUGGUGACGCAGCGGACUGCAAAUCCGUUUGGUCUGGUCAAUUCCAGGUCCUCCAACA